CAUAUGAACAAUAUAUGGAUUAAUUAUAUGUUAUAUGCUAUCUUUUGGUUUGACCUAAAUAAGUGGUCUUAUGGACAUUAUGUUAAGGGGGCCAAUGUAUUGUCAUACCAAAGUGUAGGACUAAUGUGUAGAUACCCAAAAGGGUAACCUUAGUUAAUGAUGGGCUAACUAAGGUUACAUAUGUAACCAUGGUUACAUGCUUGUGAC
rnacentral:lncRNA from 1 species